UAGGGAAUCUUCGGCAAUGGACGAAAGUCUGACCGAGCAACGCCGCGUGAGUGAAGAAGGUUUUCGGAUCGUAAAACUCUGUUGUUAGAGAAGAACAAGGACGUUAGUAACUGAACGUCCCCUGACGGUAUCUAACCAGAAAGCCACGGCUAACUACGUGCCAGCAGCCGCGGUAAUACGUAGGUGGCAAGCGUUGUUCGGAUUUAUUGGGCGUAAAGCGAGCGCAGGCGGUUUCUUAAGUCUGAGGUGAAAGCCCCCGGCUCAACCGGGGAGGGUCAUUGGAAACUGGGGGACUUGAGUGCAGAAGAGGAGAGUGGAAUUCCAUGUGUAGCGGUGAAAUGCGUAGAUAUAUGGAGGAACACCAGUGGCGAAGGCGGCUCUCUGGUCUAGAACUGACGCUGAGGCUCGAAAGCGUGGGGAGCAAACAGG
rnacentral:rRNA from 1 species